UCGGAAUUACUGGGCGUAAAGCGCACGUAGGCGGUUUUCCAAGUUGGAGGUGAAAUCCCCGGGCUUAACCCGGGAACUGCCUUUGAUACUGGGUGUCUUGAGUGUGGAAGAGGUCAGUGGAAUUGCGAGUGUAGAGGUGAAAUUCGUAGAUAUUCGCAGGAACACCAGUGGCGAAGGCGGCUGACUGGUCCACAACUGACGCUGAGGUGCGAAAGCGUGGGGAGCAAACAG
rnacentral:rRNA from 1 species